UCGGGAAUUUUGCGCAAUGGAGGAAACUCUGACGCAGUGACGCCGCGUAUAGGAAGAAGGUUUUCGGAUUGUAAACUAUUUUAGUCAGGGAAGAAAAUGACAGUACCUGAAGAAUAAGCUCCGGCUAACUACGUGCCAGCAGCCGCGGUAAUACGUAGGGAGCAAGCGUUAUCCGGAUUUAUUGGGUGUAAAGGGUGCGUAGACGGGAAGACAAGUUGGUUGUGAAAGCCCUCGGCUCAACUGAGGAACUGCAACCAAAACUAUCAUUCUUGAGUGCGGGAGAGGAAAGUGGAAUUCCUAGUGUAGCGGUGAAAUGCGUAGAUAUUAGGAGGAACACCAGUGGCGAAGGCGGCUUACUGGACGAUCACUGACGCUGAGGCUCGAAAGCGUGGGGAGCAAACA
rnacentral:rRNA from 1 species